GAUGAACGCUAGCGGCAGGCUUAAUACAUGCAAGGCGAAGGGGCAGCAAUGUCACUGUCGUACGGGUGCGUAACGUGUAUGCAACCUACCUAUCACUGGGGGAUAGCCCGGGGAAACCCGGAUUAAUACCGCAUAACACAGGGGCUCCUCAUGGAGAUAUUUGUUAAAGAUUUAUCGGUGGUAGAUGGGCAUGCGUUCGA
rnacentral:rRNA from 1 species